rnacentral:rRNA from 1 species
UACGUAGGGGGCAAGCGUUGUCCGGGUUUAUUGGGCGUAAAGCGCGUGUAGGCGGCCAGAAAAGUCCGCUGUGAAAACUCGAGGCUCAACUUCGAGCUGUCGGUGGAAACUUUCUGGCUAGAGUCCGGAAGAGGAGAAUGGAAUUCCUGGUGUAGCGGUGAAAUGCGCAGAUAUCAGGAAGAACACCCGUGGCGAAGGCGGUUCUCUGGGACGGUACUGACGCUGAGACGCGAAAGCGUGGGGAGCGAACAGG